AAUUACUUCACUGCUGUUUCUAUAUGGGACAGCUAUUACUAUCACUCUAUGUUUUAGACUGUCUAAUGAAAUAUAGACUAUGUCAUUUUUGUAAGGAUGACAUCUACAUACUAUAUUGCAAUGCUAUAUGCUUAAUAUUAAACUUCUGAAAUAGACAGCACAGUUUAUUGACAUUUCAAAUUUAGAAAAACCUAAGAUUCACUGCCCAUGUGUGUUCUAGUUACGAUGAAAGGCAAGUAUAAAGUGUCGUUCAUGGCUUAGGGAUGUACUACAUUUUAUAAAAAUAUGCAGUAGUUUUACACAAGUAUAUAUAUAGUGUUUUUAAACUACAUGCUAAAAGUUUCCAACUGUUAAAAUGGUGGCAUGUAAUUGUGGGUAUCUUGCUAGGACUUGCACAUUUAAAUAUUUACAAGCGCAUUAGGUCUCUUAGGUUUUAGUUAAGACCAACAUGAGCGAGUGAGAUAAACUCGACUAGCUUAGGAUAAGGCAUCAAGCGUGAAAUCCACGCAUUAGACCCCUCGGGAUCGGACCCCAACCCUUUUUUCAAUACCAAAUGUGAAAUUACCCCUACCUUACCACAUCAUUGAAGAGUAUUGGUGGAUAUCUUGGGCAAAUGUGCAUUAUCUUGGUGGAUAUCUUGGGCAAAUGUGCAACACCAUGAGGGAUAUCUUGGGCAAAUGUGCAAUACCAUGAGGGAUAUAUUGGGUAAAUGUGCAACACCAUGAGGGAUAUCUUGGGCAAAUGUGCAACAUAAUGAGGGAGAUAUUGGGCAAAUGUGCAAUACUAAUGGAUAAAAUGGUAUGAAAGAAAAUGUUGUAAGGUUAGUGGAUAUUUAUAACAAGGCGUAAAAAAAUACCUGUGGUUCUGGUUCAUAUCGCGAAAAAAUUAGGGACGGUAGGUCGGAAAUAAAUUUUUUUGGAGUAUUUUUUUCAUAGUUUUUUCAAUAAUUAGUGUGACAACAGACACCAUUUUGGCAGCAGCCCGCAAUCACCCAGAGAAAAAAGGGUUGCACGGUCAAUCGCGUUGAAAAAAAUAAUAGGGUCGGUCGGGAAAUGGAACCACAGGUAUUUUUUUACACCUAAUAUCAAUGAGGGGGGGGGGUCCUGCGAUUAGGAACAAAGUAAGUCCAAAUUAAGAGGAAACAAUAUGGCGGAGUGUAACAAAUGAACAAUAUGGCAGACUGGUUAAUAUGUAACAAUGAUGCACAAUUAGAACAGGCAAAAUGCAAAUGUUGCUGUAUAAACAUAUAACAAAAUAUGCUUCUGACAACUACAUGCUAUAUGUUGAUAGGAAUUUGAAUAAGUUUUCAGCAGGGAGCCAGGGAUGAUUUAGAAUUUUUGUUUUAUUUUUA
rnacentral:lncRNA from 1 species